GACGAACGCUGGCGGCGUGCUUAACACAUGCAAGUCGAACGGAAAGGCCCUGCUUUUGUGGGGUGCUCGAGUGGCGAACGGGUGAGUAACACGUGAGUAACCUGCCCUUGACUUUGGGAUAACUUCAGGAAACUGGGGCUAAUACCGGAUAGGAGCUCCUGCUGCAUGGUGGGGGUUGGAAAGUUUCGGCGGUUGGGGAUGGACUCGCGGCUUAUCAGCUUGUUGGUGGGGUAGUGGCUUACCAAGGCUUUGACGGGUAGCCGGCCUGUGAGGGUGACCGGCGACAUUGGGACUAAGAUACGGCCCAGACUCCUACGUGAGGCAGCAGUGGGGAAUAUUGCACAAUGAGCGGAAGCCUGAUGCAGCGACGCCGCGUGCGUGAUGACGGCCUUCGGGUUGUAAACCGCUUUCGCCUGUGACGAAGCGUGAGUGACGGUAAUGGGUAAAGAAGCACCGGCUAACUACGUG
rnacentral:rRNA from 1 species